rnacentral:lncRNA from 1 species
UCUGCGUUGGACUGUUUGAACUUAGUAUAAUUAAUCAUACAUCAUAAUAAGCCUCAAAUAGCAAUCAGAAAGCUUAAAUUCAUGUUCAAGGUGGUCCUAUUGGUUAACAAAAUACAUGAGAGAAUUCAUUCAUUAUCAUAUUCGGGAAAAUCAAUGAGAAAUGGUUUUGGGGUUAAAAUUUUAAGAAUGCUCUGUCUAUCUUUUAGAGAUAUCAUCAAUGAUCAUCGAAGUUACAAAUAGAUAGAUGGAAUAAAGGUUAAUCUUAAAAUGCGAGGUUGUACAUAAAGCAUAUACUUCUCAACUCUAAGUUAUAGCAUAUUGAAUCCAUCAUAAUUGUUCAAUCAAGUAAUACAUAAUUUUUCAGAUUAACUCAAACGCAAGCGAUAAUUCUAGUAGCCGCAUCGAGCUUUACGUUCGCACGGCUCCAUUAAGCUAUGAACAAACUUUACCUCAGCCAAAAUCCUACUUCCUUUCAUGUUGUAGAAGACCCCAACCAGAAAAGAAAAACAAGGAAAGCUGGAAUGAACAUGGAGGCAAGAACAACAUGACCCUCCGAAGGAAAACAAAUAGAGCAAAGGAAGGAGGUAGCGCAAUCUAAAAAAAAUCCAUAGCCACUGAACAGAACCUUUAAACUUAUCUGAGUAACGAAGAACAAUCCCUAUGAUAAUCUAAAGUCAUUCAAUUAGGCUAAUAACCUCGAACAUAUCUUCCUCUCCUCGUCCGGUAGUGCAAGGAUAUAAGCCAAAGCUUAUUAGAGAUUCAUGGGAUCAUUAUUAUGGCUCUAUGGCUAACUUCCAGGUCUCUUCAAUAUCGCCGAAUUAAAAAGACCUUGCGAGUUGCGUUAAAUAAAUGAAAAGAACGCAUAAAAUAGACAGAAGAUAACUCAAGAAUAAAAACAAACCCCCGAAAUUCCCCUUUUUACUCUGAAGAAAAUUUUAGACUUCUGAAAGUCGCGAUAGUGCAAAGCAGCCUCCGAAAUUUCUCAUAUUCAGAACAACAAGCCUAAAAAUUUGAAACGGUUAUCCUUCAAAUACGGUCUUACAAAAUAUCAAGGGUUUUAGACCCUCCUUGAGAGAAAAUACACACACAGCAAUGGCUUUGGACAUCAAGGAAAUCCACAUGACCAAAUCCAUUCUUAUGUACAGUAUUCUUCAAUGAAACCAUUACAUUCUCCAUGGAUUUUAAACCAACAAGAAUACUGGCUUGGAAUAAACCCACGGCAGAAAAGAAAAAUUCAAAAUUCCACUAAAAAGGAACACAACUAAUAGGCUAGAAAAGGGAGCCAAUGGGAGCCAAUAUCCUUUAUCCUCCUCCUUACCUCGAUGGACUCAAAUGAAAUGGUCGUCGAGGGAUCCUAGGAUUUUCUGGUGACCUUUUAUUAUUGGACACAUGCUUGGUCAUUCUCUUUGACAUUUGAAAGCCAGAGGAACUCACAAAGUGGUCCUUCCAAUGAUAUUACUAACUAAACAGGAACUAACGAUUCAAACAAAAACAAUAUUUGGCUAGCCGGUGAAGCAAAAAAUCAAAAUAGGAAUCUCGAUGGAAAUCAAUGAAUCAAACUCACAAGCAAUACCAAUGCAAAAUAACAGAUUAGAAACCGAUUAGAAAAUUUUAAAAUCAUAUAACAGGUUAUGAAAUUGAGAUAGGCAAAUGAGACUCAGACCAAAAGCUUUAACGACUAAUCCGACAGUUUUACAUCAAACAUAAUCACAUGACAGGCAUUACCUUCAGCAAGCAUGUCCUAUGGUCUUAUAAGACCUCUACAGCAGCUAAUCCCAGCAUACCACAUCAAAAAUAAAACACUAAAUGACUAAAGAAUGGGGGAGAUGAAAUAGUAAUUGAAAGAUAAAUAAAACGGGAUGUUACCUUUUUCGAAGCAGCAAACCGAGACGACGAACUAGCUAUGGAGAAUCACGACCACCAGAACACUCCUUCACCGUCAAUUCAAAACUAGAAUUUAAUCAAUGAACUUUCAAAACAAGAACAGGAUCUCUGCUAAAGACCUGAUUUUUCUUCAAAAAUUCUUUCUUUUAUUUUUUUUCUUUUUUGAACCAAAAUUUCCUUUCUUGAAUUUCCUCACCCUAGAAUUCCUAGCCUUCAGAAUUUCCCAACCCAAUUUUCGAACCCCGGGAUUUCCCAUUCUCUUUCUUCUCUGCUCUCAAGAGAGCUAUAUAUAGAGGAUCUAAGAAUGGCUCCAUUGGAGCUCAACUGAUCAGUAAACGUUGAUAAUAAAGGGGUAUAUUCAGAAUUUUCCAUGGAGAUAUUCUCUAAAUUUGAACUCACGACAAUGUUUUACACCAACAACUCAUACAGAUUUUGGAGCUUUCCUUGGAUAAAUCCGAAUAGGUGGACCAAUCAAAAUUGGGGAAAAUGGAAUAUUACCUCAAACCAAUGGAAACCAGCCGCAUACGUAUGAAAUCGUACUAAUAAUCCC